ensembl:lncRNA
AUACGCUGAAUUAACGACAGCCGUGUGCAAUGUGACCGCGUCUCGCAAACAUCACGCUGGUCAAAACCAACAUAAAGAACGAAAGCCAGACGUAAAGAACACACACCGGAUGGAUGCACUUCUAAAAAAUUUCAACAACAGGGAAAAAUCAAACAACAGUGUCCAUGGAUGUAUAUUUAAGUAGUAAAAUUUUAAAGAAAAGCAAAGAAGUGAAUGAGCAUAAAAGGAGGCCCAGCGAUCACCUUUGAAAAGGGGAACCGCAGCCCAGAAGGGAUGCGCGCGAGGGCUCCGGGGGGCGCGCAGCUGGUGAUCUCCUGAACUGAGAAGGCGUUUACUUCAUACGAGACAAAAAUUAAGCUGUACCUUAUGUUUCAUAUACUUUUCUAUAUGGUUGUUUCAGUUCACAAUAAAGAGAAUUAAAGUAAACGUCAAAAGCUAUCUGCAGAAAAAAUAAAAAUCUGGCCGAAAAUCCCUCCGUGCUAUGGGCGGGCCUCCUUUCCGCCAUGCUUACCUGGAGAAGACAGUCUUGGAAAUGACACAGCAGGUGUCUGAGGCUCUUCCCGGGGACACUGCGAUUUUCAAAGGCCUCGCUGCAGAGGGAUUGGCCGCGUGUCAUCAGACUUUGAGCUGUGGUGUGCGUGAAAUAACUUCAGCUACUUAUUUCCUUUUGGAACUGUGCCUAUCCCACCAGAGGGGUGCUCCUUUGUCCCCCAGCCUGCAACUGCGAGGGAGGUGGAAAUCUGUGCUUCUGAUACCUGGGUCCUGGGGCCCACGGCACAGCAGGAGGACAUCACGACAGUUGUGGGCAUGGGGGAGUCAGAGUGUGGUGGUCCUGCCUUGACAGUGGGCCUUGGGGGGCAGAGUGACUGGCUCAGGGGCACAGAACGAGAUAACAGGUUUGCACCUCGAACCCAGGCCAGACGCAUCGCCCCGUGCUCCUCGGGGCGGGGGGGGAAAGCGUCUCUCCCGGUUCUGUUCUCUUGGAGCUUUUCCUCUAGUUUUCAUUCAUCAGUCAGGGAUUUCCAUCAGCUGGAACAGAAACCGACGGCACAGGGCGUGGCUUUCAUUUUCUCUCCUCUAACAGCGCAUCUCCAGGUAAGUGGCUGCUGGUGUUGUCUCAGUGAUUGGAGGGCGGGGGGUUGGGCACGAGACUUCUGCUCUUCUCCUGGUGGCCCCAAACCAGAGCCAGCAUCAGGACAUGUGGCACCUUAUGAAAAGUACAAAAAGGUGCCCUUCUGAGCAGGUGAAGUACAACAGGACUCACCCAGCCCGCAGAGCCACAUCAAUGUCUCAAAAGGACUUCAGAGAAGACCUGUUUGGGUCCAUUUCCAGAAACGAAAUGUCCAGCCUCUCUGUGCUUAGAUUUUACCCUCCUUUCAAGCUAAUAGGUUAGCCGGUUGCUGUUUCUUGCAUGCUGCCAGAAGACAAGGGAUGGAUCAGAGACUAGAGACUUUAUUAUGCAGAGCAUGGCACCCAGCAUGAACACCAGCGUCUCUGGUGGGGCCUCCUGGAGUCUCAGGGGAGCAGCCGGAUGGCAUAACCCAGAGGGUGACCACACAGGCAAUGAGCUGAGGAUCUUGGAGCUGGGGGGAGCCACUGCUUUUAUAGCACGCAAGCCUGCUCUUUGUCCAGGGGGAGACAGUCCCUUGUCCCACAAGGUCACCAGCUGUGUAAACAACCCCAAGAACUGGCUGAGAUAAAACAGUGGUUAGGAUUUUGCAUUCUUGGCACACACAGCAGGACGUGAGGGACCCAGGGAGGCUCUCUCCCGACAGGGACCACCUCUGUGGCUGAAAAGCCAGAGACACACAAUUAACUGGCCUGCCAGAACUGUGUGGAAUGGGAAAGCAGCAGUUCCCAAAGGAGAGGGUGCGGGGAUAAACAAAAACAAAAACAAAAACAUAGCAAUGGCAACAGCAAGAGCAGCACGUGUGCACCAGCCUCCAAUGAGCCAGAGGGGG